AUUGAACGCUGGCGGCAGGCCUAACACAUGCAAGUCGAGCGAGCGGCGGACGGGUGAGUAAUGUCUGGGUAACUGCCCGAUGGAGGGGGAUCACUACUGGAAGCGGUGGCUAAUACCGCAUACUAUCGGAUGAACCCAGAGGGGAUUAGAUAGUAGGUGGGGUAAAGGCUCACCUAGGCGACGAUCUCUAGCUGGUCUGAGAGGAUGAUCAGUCCCACUGGGACUGAGAUACGGCCCAGACUCCUACGGGAGGCAGCAGUGGGGAAUAUUGCACAAUGGGCGCAAGCCGGAUGCAGCCAUGCCGCGUGUAUGAAGAAGGCCUUAGGGUCGUAAAGUACUUUCAGCGGGGAGGCGUUACCCGCAGAAGAAGCACCGGCUAACUCCGUGCCAGCAGCCGCGGUAAUUC
rnacentral:rRNA from 1 species